ACACAGGAAAGGAGGUGAUCCGGCUGAUGAUCAAUCACCGGACGUGUGAGGUGGCUGCGGCCUGAGGCCGACGCCACUAGCGUGACGCCGGUUCGCCGGCCAAUCCACAGCAGUCACCCGGCCCGUGGGCUCGUCGGACUCGUCCGACCGACGCCGUCCGCCUCGCGCAGGCGGAGGGAGUCGCCCACGGGCCGUCUGCU
rnacentral:sRNA from 1 species